rnacentral:rRNA from 1 species
GACGAACGCUGGCGGCGUGCCUAAUACAAGCAAGUCGAGCGGACUUGUAGGAGCUUGCUCCUGCAAGUUAGCGGCGGACGGGUGAGUAACACGUGGGCAACCUGCCUGUAAGACUGGGAUAACUUCGGGAAACCGGAGCUAAUACCGGAUGACACUAAGGAACUCCUGUUCCUUAGUUGAAAGAUGGCUUCGGCUAUCACUUACAGAUGGGCCCGCGGCGCAUUAGCUAGUUGGUGAGGUAACGGCUCACCAAGGCGACGAUUCGUAGCCGACCUGAGAGGGUGAUCGGCCACACUGGGACUGAGACACGGCCCAGACUCCUACGGGAGGCAGCAGUAGGGAACCUUCCGCAAUGGACGAAAGUCUGACGGAGCAACGCCGCGUGAGCGAUGAAGGCCUUCGGGUCGUAAAGCUCUGUUGUUAGGGAAGAACAAGUGCUAGUUAAAUAAGCUGGCACCUUGACGGUACCUAACCAGAAAGCCACGGCUAACUACGUGCCAGCAGCCGCCGCAGUAA